rnacentral:RNase_P_RNA from 1 species
CAGACAGUCGCGUGGGCAGGCCGAAAGGCCGUCCAUGAGGAAAGUCCGGGCUCCACAGGGCAAGGAUAGCGGGUAACGCCCGCCGAAGGCGACUUCAGGAAAAGUGCAACAGAGAGAUACCGCCCGGCCGCUCUGCGGCCAGGUAAGGGUGGAAAGGCGAGGUAAGAGCUCACCCGAUGGCUCGUGAAAGUGUCCAUCGCUGUAAACUCUAUCCGGAGCAACACCGGUAUGGGAGCAGGGGCUUCGGGCCCCAAGGCUUGCCCGGCCGCUCCCGGGGUGGCUGGAACGACCCGGCGACGGGCCGUCUAGAUAGAUGACUGUCGAAAACAGAACCCGGCUUACCGUUUCCCUC